UCACACAAUCAGAUCGUCUUCGUCUUCCCCAAUUCAUUCGCCGGCUCAGAGAGAUUUUGCAGAAGAAGAACAGAGAAAGAUGUCAUUCAUGAGAGGAGAAGCCUUAGUCACGAAACUUGCUGCGCUCGCCAAAUACGCAAUUCUUCCUGGAACUAUGGUCGCCUCUCUCAUCUAUUCGCCGCCUGACUUCUCCAAACACUCUCAAUCUUCCUCCAAAUAGGUUACAAAUCAAACAACAAUGUGGUGGCUUAAAGAGUUACUUCUCUGUUUCCAAAAAAGAUGUUAUUUUGUGAUUGAUUGACUCGAAUGUUAUGUUCCGAAUAAUGUUUCAUGGAAACGUUCUCCAUUGAGAAUAUUAUAAAUGCACAAGUUAUCUUGUUAAAUAAUCAUCUCGCUAUGACGUCUUAUUGUCGAAACUCUUCCAUUGAUCGUCUUCAUGGUUGAUUACUUUACUU